UGACUUUUUCCCUAGUCAAACUUUUUUAAGUUUGACCAAGUUUAUAGAAAAAUGUAGAAACAUUUUCAACACAACAGAAACAUAUUAUCAAAAUAUAUUAAAUGUUAGUUUUAAUGAAACUAAUUUGGUGUUGUAGAUGUAAAUUUUUCUAUAAACUUGGUCAAACUUAAGAAGUUUUACUAGAAAAAAGUCAAA
rnacentral:pre_miRNA from 1 species